rnacentral:rRNA from 1 species
UACGGAGGGUGCAAGCGUUAUCCGGAUUCACUGGGUUUAAAGGGUGCGUAGGCGGGCAGAUAAGUCAGUGGUGAAAUCCCCGAGCUUAACUUGGGAACUGCCAUUGAUACUAUUUGUCUUGAAUGUCGUGGAGGUUAGCGGAAUAUGUCAUGUAGCGGUGAAAUGCUUAGAUACGACAUAGAACACCCAUUGCGAAGGCAGCUAACUACGCGAAUAUUGACGCUGAGGCGCGAAAGCGUGGGGAUCAAACAGG